GACGAACGCUGGCGGCGUGCUUAACACAUGCAAGUCGAACGGAAAGGCCCCUUUGGGGGUACUCGAGUGGCGAACGGGUGAGUAACACGUGAGUAACCUGCCCUUGACUUCGGGAUAACUUCAGGAAACUGGGGCUAAUACCGGAUAGGAAUCCUUGCUGCAUGGUGGGGGUUGGAAAGCUUCGGCGGUUUUGGAUGGACUCGCGGCUUAUCAGCUUGUUGGUGGGGUAGUGGCUUACCAAGGCUUUGACGGGUAGCCGGCCUGAGAGGGGGACCGGCCAAAUUGGGACUGAGAUAAGGCCCAGACUCCUACGGGAGGCAGCAGGGGGGAAUAUUGAAAAAUGGGCGGAAGCCUGAUGCAGCAAAGCCGCGUGCGGGAUGACGGCCUUCGGGUUGUAAACCGCUUUCAGCAGGGGCGAAGCUUGUGGUGACGGUACCUGCAGAAGAAGCACCGGCUAACUACGUG
rnacentral:rRNA from 1 species